rnacentral:pre_miRNA from 1 species
CAAGUACUCCCUCCGUCCGAAAAUACUUGUCAUCAAAAUGAAUAAAAGGGGAUGUAUCUAGAUGUAUUUUAGUUCUAGAUACAUUCUUUUUUGUCCAUUUUGAUGACAAGUAUUUUCGGACGGAGGGAGUAUUGA